GCUGAAACACCAGCUCCCGUACGAUCAUCGAAGUUAAACAACGUCGAGCGUGAUUAGUAACUAAAUGGGUGACCGCUUGGUAAUACUAGGUGCUGAAA